rnacentral:lncRNA from 1 species
GGCGCCGGCUGCGCCGGCCACGGGCCCUGGCGGCGCGCCAGCGUCCAGGCCCAAGGGGCGCCGGCAUACGGGCCCCCAAGGGGCGCCGGAGGAGGCGCUGGAGGGGGCGCCGGCGUACGGGUGCUGGAGAGGGCGACGGGGAGGAGGCGCUGUAGGGGCGACGGGAGGAGGCGCUGUAGGGGCGACGGGAGGAGGCGCUGGAUGGGAGCGGCGGGAGGAGGCGCUGGUGUGGGCGGCGGAAUGGACAGGCGAGGGGGCGCGAGGUGGAUAGCGCUCGAUGCAGGGGCGGCAGGGGAGCAUCUCGCCGGCGGUUAUCUGGAUCUCGGAGGAAAG